rnacentral:rRNA from 1 species
ACUGGUGAGUAACGUGUAAAGAACUUGCCUCUUAGACUGGGAUAACAAGUGGAAACGCUUGAUAAUACUAGAUAUUAUGAUACUAAGGCAUCUUGGUAACAUGAAAGGAUAAUAUUGCUAAGAGAGAGCUUUGCAUCCUAUUAGCUAGUUGGUGGGGUAAAGGCCUACCAAGGCGAUGAUAGGUAGCCGGCCCGAGAGGGUGAACGGCCACAAGGGGACUGAGAUACGGCCCUUACUCCUACGGGAGGCAGCAGUGGGGAAUAUUGGACAAUGGAGGGAACUCUGAUCCAGCAAUUCUGUGUGCACGAAGAAGGUUUUCGGAUUGUAAAGUGCUUUCAGUAGGGAAGAAGAAAGUGACGGUACCUACAGAAGAAGCGACGGCUAAAUACGUGCCAGCAGCCGCGGUAAUACGUAUGUCGCAAGCGUUAUCCGGAAUUAUUGGGCUUAAAGGGCAUCUAGGCGGUUUUUCAAGUCAGGGGUGAAAACUUAUGGCUCAACUAUAAGCUUGCCUUUGAAACUGAAAGACUAGAGUACUGGAAAGGUGGGUGGAACUACACGAGUAGAGGUGAAAUUCGUAGAUAUGUGUAGGAAUGCCGAUGAUGAAGAUAACUCACUGGACAGAAACUGACGCUG